UACGUAGGGUGCAAGCGUUAAUCGGAAUUACUGGGCGUAAAGCGUGCGCAGGCGGCUUUGCAAGACAGAUGUGAAAUCCCCCGGGCUUAACCUGGGGAACUGCAUUUGUGACUGCAUGGCUAGAGUGCGGCAGAGGGGGAUGGAAUUCCGCGUGUAGCAGUGAAAUGCGUAGAUAUGCGGAGGAACACCGAUGGCGAAGGCAAUCCCCUGGGCCUGCACUGACGCUCAUGCACGAAAGCGUGGGGAGCAAACAGG
rnacentral:rRNA from 1 species